AAUCUGCCUGGUAGUGGGGGAUAACGUCCGGAAACGGACGCUAAUACCGCAUACGUCCUACGGGAGAAAGCAGGGGACCUUCGGGCCUUGCGCUAUCAGAUGAGCCUAGGUCGGAUUAUCUAGUUGGUGGGGUAAUGGCUCACCAAGGCGACGAUCCGUAACUGGUCUGAGAGGAUGAUCAGUCACACUGGAACUGAGACACGGUCCAGACUCCUACGGGAGGCAGCAGUGGGGAAUAUUGGACAAUGGGCGAAAGCCUGAUCCAGCCAUGCCGCGUGUGUGAAGAAGGUCUUCGGAUUGUAAAGCACUUUAAGUUGGGAGGAAGGGCAGUAAAUUAAUACUUUGCUGUUUUGACGUUACCGACAGAAUAAGCACCGGCUAACUCUGUGCCAGCAGCCGCGGUAAUACAGAGGGUGCAAGCGUUAAUCGGAAUUACUGGGCGUAAAGCGCGCGUAGGUGGUUCGUUAAGUUGGAUGUGAAAAUCCCCGGGCUCACCUGGGAAACUGCAUUCAAAACUGACGAGCUAAGUA
rnacentral:rRNA from 1 species